CUGCUUCCCUGGAAGGAAUCCCACUUAGCAUCGCCUGGAAACCCUGGGCCUGCACCCAGGCCCUUCUCCAGGCCCCAGGACACACAGGUUCCUGACACUGGACUGCGGCCAGAGGCCACCAGAGCUGGGAGGGACAAGGGGUCUCCUGGCCAAGCCCCUUGUUUUUCAGUAUGAGGUCAGCCACGGCACCCCUGGGGUCACUUUCCAUUCCCUCCGUUGUCCAGGACCAACUGCGUUCGCCCAGGCCCCCCAGAGCUGCCGGAGCAGAGUAAGAGGACUUCAGGAGUGGGUGGAGAUGGGGAGAUAAGAGGGGUGAUAAUUGCACAAAAGGUCAUGAAAUUGCAUCAGAGGAGAGUGUGAAGAGUAGGCAGGACAGAGGGUGGGGGCACAGGGUUGCCGGAGGGGGCUAGUCCCCGGGGCACGAGCCCAGCCCGCCCUGGGAAGGAGAUUUUCCAGGAAGGACAGAGAAGUUAGGGGCGGGCUGGGGUGGGGGGAGGCUUUGCAUUUGGAACAGGUUACUGAGCCCCCAAGGGGAGGCCCCCCAAGGCACCCAAUUCCAGCUCCUCGGGCCCUGUUGGUCGCCUCCUGGUUCCUCCCUUCUCUCACUGUCGGUGCUCAUACCCUCGUUAUUCAGAUUCCUUAUCUGCAAAUCUGUGCACUCACUACCUUUUGCUGUGACCUCCAGAUCAGAACUCACAAGGUUUCCUGGGCGUACCUUCCCAGCUGAGGGUGAGUGAGCAGGCACCCUGACCCUCCGUCCGGGGCGGCCCUCUCCUACCAAAGGGUCCGAACGAGAACUAUGUGGGCUGCCUGUAGGCAACACUAUGGGAAGUGGCUCUCACAGCCACAGUGACCCUCGGGGCUAUGCGGCCGCUCGAGGAUUUAAACCCGCACCCCCUCUGGCUUCUGCACCGCAUCCGUCUCCAAAGCAAGGACUCGGUCCUGUCCAUCUCUGCCCUCCAGUGUUCUGCCUGAGACCCAGCAAACAGGAGGCACUGACACGUGACGCCGUGUGGAUGAACCUGGAAAGCAUCCUGGGAAGUGAGAAGCCAGAUCCCAAAGGCCGCGCCUUGUAGGAUUCCUUUUGCGUGAAAUGUCGGGACUGGGCAAGUCCAGAGACAGAAAGCAGGCUGGUGGCUGGCAGGGGCUGGGGGGGGACAGGGAGGGUCUCCCGGGCUGGGGGCAGGUGGGCGAGGCCCUCAGGCAGGUCUGGUGCCAGCGUCCUCCGGGGCCUGGAGGGAAAAGGACUGAGCCACCGGCGGGCGUGGGGACCGCACGCUUCCCCCGGCAUCUCCUCCCACUCGGAGGGUUCCAGUACCUACCCUU